rnacentral:rRNA from 1 species
UGGGCGUAAGCGUGCGUAGGCGGCUUUUUAAGUCGGAUGUGAAAUCCCUGAGCUUAACUUGGGAAUUGCAUUCGAUACUGGGAAGCUAGAGUAUGGGAGAGGAUGGUAGAAUUCCAGGUGUAGCGGUGAAAUGCGUAGAGAUCUGGAGGAAUACCGAUGGCGAAGGCAGCCAUCUGGCCUAAUACUGACGCUGAGGUACGAAAGCAUGGGGAGCAAACAGGAUUAGAUACCCUGGUAGUCCAUGCCGUAAACAAUGUCUACUAUCCGUUGGGGCCUUUGAGGCUUUAGUGGCGCAUCUAACGCGAUAAGUACACCGCCUGGGGAGUACGGUCGCAAGACUAAAACUCAAAUGAAUUGACGGGGGCCCGCACAAGCGGUGGAACAUGUGGUUUAAUUCUAUGCCACGCGAAGAACCUUACCUGGUCUUGACGUAAUAAGAACUUUCCAGAGAUGGAUUGGUGCCUUCGGGAACUUACAUACAGGUGCUGCAUGGCUGUCGUCAGCUCGUGUCGUGAGAUGUUGGGUUAAGUCCCGCAACGAGCGCAACCCUUUUCCUUAUUUGCC